GGUCAAACAGCCGUCGCUAAAAUAUGUAAAUUUGUGGGGGUUUUAACCCCCUCUAUCAAUCAAAAGAAUAUAGCUCAAAAUUAAUUUCAUGUUCCCCAUUUUUUUAAUUGGCCAUCGAAAAAUAAGUGCAUUUUCCCCCCAAAACCCUCUCUCAUUUUUCCCCCAAACACGCACCUCUCUGAUUCUCCUCUCAAAAUAAAAUCAAUUCUCCGAUCGAUUUCACUCCUCAAAUGGGUUUCUAGUACUGAUUUUGAUUUCUUCUUUGAAAUAUCUACCGAUUUUAUUCUGUAAGUGAAUUUUAAUUUUGUUUCUUUCAUUCCCCCAAAUGGGUUUCUAGUACUGAUCGAUUGCAGAAAUAAGGACCCUUUUUCAUCCCAUCAAGUUUAAGUUGCAUAUCUCAGGUAAAAAAUUCACAUAUUUCUUCAUACAGAGAAUGUUACUUUCUAUAUUUACUGAUUCUUCAACUCUAGUACACCAUAUGUUCUUUUUUUGUACUGCUCUAAGAUGAGCAUCUUUUGAAAACAUCAUCGCUACAUCCAUCGAGGUAGGAGGAUGCUUGGCGUAUAAUCUGGGAUCCCACCCGCGGAACUUCACCAGAUAUAUUUAAGACCACAAGAUUUAAGAAUGUUUUGACACAAUAUAUGUAUCUUUAGUUCUCAAUGAGUCAUAAAAUACUUAAUAAGACUUUGAAUUCUAUGUCUAUUGUGAUUUUAGAAAUACAGUGAAACCAGAAAUAGAAACAAAUUUUGGCCUUAUAUAUUUGCUUUUGUAUUCACAAUUAAUGAUGGAAUAAUAUAAAUUAAAUUAUUGUUAAACAAGCAAUUUGUUGGAUUUUAGAUUUUAUGGUUGAAAUUUUUUGAUUUGUGAUGUGACAUUUAUCAUACAUAAUGCAAUUUGUUUUGGAGCUUGGUGAUUCUAAUCCCAAUCCUAGUAAGUCUUUUUGGUAGAUUAUCCACAUAUUCAGAACAAUAUCUCUUCACAUGACCUCCAUCACUAGAAGUCACUCUUCUGAAUUUGUUGCCAACCUUCUCUGCUGGAAAUAAUUCUCAAUUGUUGCCUAACAAUUUUCUUAGUGUUUGUGAUUUUGGAGAAAGUCCAGUACACAUAUGAAUCAGGUUCAGAAAUUUCAUCGAGUCUUUGUUUGAAUCUAAAUACGCCAGUAGAUAGUCAUCCUUUCCUAUUGUGUGUCAAUUGGUUUAUAAGAUAAAUGGGCUCCCACCUAAUUAGAUUAGUCUUUUGGGUUGGGCUCUCCUCUUAGUCUAUGACAUAACCUCUUUUUGUUGAAGUGAAGAGAUUUUCUAUUGUGUGAUGGGGUAUGCAAAUGGAAAAUGAAGAAAAAGGAAAAAAGACAUCGAGGAACACUAGUACUCUUUAUCUACCUGCUUGCUUUACUUGGUGGAAUAAAUUGAUAUAUUGACUUAACUCCCUUGAGUCUGCAUUCUAUUGGAGAUUUAUGUUGAGUGGGGAAGUUUUGGGAUUUAUGUUUUCCAAAGAAGGAAAGAGGAGAAGUCCAAGAGAGAAAUCAUUGAAUUUCUUAGUGUUCACAUAGACUUCCUGUAUAUUAUUGAUUCCACAUGUUAUUGUUAUCAUCUAUCUAGGCCUUAUAUUUGUUGUACUUGAGAAAUAUCAUUAAUAAUUAUUUGUGCUCAUUGCCUUGACAGGUUAAGAAUUUAGUUUUCUUAGGAGAACCUCAUGAUGGCACUGCUUCAGUUCCUCUAUGUGGUGUAAGUGUUUGUAUAGUUUGUACUAUCAUUUGCUAUUUAUCCUUCAAGAAGACUUACAAUUGUUUUGGAGCUUUGUGAUUCUGGAUCCCACCAUACUUGUUUCUUGUCAGGAUGUUCUAUUAUGCAACUUUGAAAAUACUGCUUACCUAAAAUAAAUAUAAUUUCCCUUCUAAUGACAAAAUAAGUUUUUUAGACACCUAAAAUGUAUUUACAGUUCACAUAAACUUUACGGUGAAAUUUCUUCGUCUUUUUUGAGAAAUUCCACCUCUAAAAUAGAAACCCAAAGAGGCUAAAUAGCCUAUUAACGCCUAAAUGUUAUUUUAUGAUUGUCGCAUGUUUGGAUAAUACAAUCACUUAUCCAAAGUUCUGGAAAGAACAUAUGGUCAAUUAGAGGUCGUAAUGACUAAUUUGUCCAGUUUCUUAAUCACUUUGAUUUUUUUCUUGAGAAAUAUCAGUGAGUUUAGUGCAAAUAUAGAAUUGCAGAGUCAAAAGAAUGUACGCUGGAUAGAAAUGCUAUAGGAUUAGUGCGAUUUGAUAUUAGUAAUAUGCUCCUUCCUUUAUGAGUGACAUGGAUAUCUUCCAUCAAGCCUUGAUUAAAGGGACUUUGAAUGUUCUUAUUCAGGAAUCCUUAACUUGAAUAAUGGUACAAGAUAUUUGGCUUGAUAUUGAAAUCCUUUCCUUGUAAAGAUUUAAUCACCUUUCCUGUUUAACUUUGGAUGACUGUUCCCUUUAUUGUUUUUCAUUGUAUAAUUUUGGGUGACUGUAUCCUAAUCAGUUUUCUAUAGAUAGUGUUUUUUCUUCUCAAGUUUGAAAAUGAUAGAGCAAUUAACUUUGCAAUGACCAAGAGGUCUGUCUCAACUCUCAAAGAAACAAGUGUUUGCAAUGAGUAAUUGCUCAUAAAAUCCAAUUCGAUAGAUGCUUUCUACAACACGAAAAUACAAGAUAUAAUCAAGGUGGAUUACUUUGAUUUUCACCUUUAGGUAAUCCUUUUGUCAUUGAAGUUGCUCGCAUCUAUCGUAGCUAUCUUUCUCUUUUUCUUUCUAUUUCUUUUUCUCUUUCUCCUUCUUGAAACAUCAUCUAAUUUUCUUGAUGGGCUACUACAAACUCUAAUCAGAUCAACGUUAUGAGAUUUAUGUUCCUUUUGAACUGUCAUUGCUGCUUGAUCUACCUCUAGUGGUUUCUCCUCAUAUUCUAAAUACAGUCCCCCAUUUAUGGCAAUGUCAUACUCAGCAGAUGCCCGUGAACAGCCAAUUUUAGUUGUUACUGCAGUAUCUUUUGGCAGAACUGGAAAGAGUUUGGGACCUUGCAUCGUUCGUUGCUUCCUUCUCCAUCUCUUAUUUUUGGUCUCAUACUCGAGGCAAACUCCCCAACAUAUUUCCUAUUUGAUCUUUGAAGAUACCUCAAAAAGCCAAGUGAUGUGGCUAGUGGACUCAUUUCGCCCAUGGAUGUAAGGAGACCGCGUGAUGAUAGUGAUCCUAACAAUAUUCUUUGAUUUUAUUGCAUUUGUCUUAGAUAUUCAAUUAUGACGAUGUAAUUGUGUGGUUGGAGUGAAUCUUAGAAUAUUGAAGGUUUUGUGUUUAAAUUUGAUUUUGAAGUUUGAAGAUACUAGUUAAUGUUGAAAAUUUGGAGUUUGAAGAUGUUAA